CUGUGCCCCGCCCCACCCUCCCGACCCUGAGCGUGGCGUCGGCGCCCGCAGGCGGGUCCGCCUCUUCGGGGCUGCCGGCCGCUGGGGUCCGCAGCGGGGGCUGCCCCGGUCCCGCACGCCCCGAGGUUUCCCGAUAGCUCAGGAAACCGAGCGGGUGAGUGAAACUCAGAGAAGCUACGGACUUGCCGAAUUCUCGGGAAUUCUCCUAGCAGGGUCAUUUGUCCGAUUCUCUUGAGUAAAAAUACUUUAGCGCUGGACAAAGUCGGCCAGAAACUUUUACAAAUAAGCCAAGAGUACAAUUAACAGCUCUCCUUCCCUUGUAAACAGUUUUAUUCGUUUUUAAGAAUCAUGCAGCAAUCCAUAAA